UACGAAGGGGGCUAGCGUUGCUCGGAAUUACUGGGCGUAAAGGGAGCGUAGGCGGACAGUUAAGUCAGUGGUGAAAGCCCAGGGCUCAACCCUGGAAUUGCCUUUGAUACUGAUUGUCUUGAGUAUGGGAGAGGUAUGCGGAACUCCGAGUGUAGAGGUGAAAUUCGUAGAUAUUCGCAAGAACACCAGUGGCGAAGGCGGCUCACUGGCCCGGUACUGACGCUGAGGUGCGAAAGCGUGGGGAGCAAACAGG
rnacentral:rRNA from 1 species